rnacentral:rRNA from 1 species
CUUCCGCCGGCGACCGGCGCACGGGUGAGUAACACGUAUGCAACCUGCCCCUGUCAGGGGGACAACCCGCCGAAAGGCGGGCUAAACCCGCGUACAUGCCACCGGGGCAUCCCGGAGGCAGGAAAGGCUUCGGCCGGACAGGGAUGGGCAUGCGGCGCAUUAGGCAGUAGGCGGGGUAACGGCCCACCGAGGCGACGAUGCGUAGGGGUUCUGAGAGGAAGGUCCCCCACACUGGUACUGUGACACGGACCAGACUCCUACGGAAGGCAGCAG